GGGGGCGUUUUUGGGACUCGACGGGGACAGAUCGAGCGUCGGUAGCGAGCCGAGGGGCUGCGACCUUCGUGAAAACGCAGACGCCAAAUGUAACUGGCAAACAAGAAACUCAACCUCUGGCUGCAGCUGCUUAAUCGUAGCUCACCAGGAUCCGAUGCGCUAUCGCCCGUGUAGCGUAGCCGGGUCUCAUAACUCAGCGGGCUAGCUGAUCGGAUGGUCACCGGCCGAUAAGCGAAACGAAGGUGACUAGCUCGAAGGAACGCCUGUCACUGGGCAGUCCCUAGGGCGAACUCCACAAUACAGUGACUGCGCUCGGAGAAGCCGUCGUGGCGAUGUCUUCGGACAGCGGUUCGAAUCCGCUCGCCUCCACCA
rnacentral:tmRNA from 1 species